rnacentral:rRNA from 1 species
UGCGUAGGGUGCAAGCGUUGUCCGGAAUUAUUGGGCGUAAAGAGCUCGUAGGCGGUCUGUCGCGUCUGCUGUGAAAACUCGGGGCUUAACCCCGGGCCUGCAGUGGGUACGGGCAGACUAGAGUGCGGUAGGGGAGACUGGAAUUCCUGGUGUAGCGGUGAAAUGCGCAGAUAUCAGGAGGAACACCGGUGGCGAAGGCGGGUCUCUGGGCCGAUACUGACGCUGAGGAGCGAAAGCGUGGGGAGCGAACAGG